UCCCGGUUCACCCGGGCAGUCUCAUUAGAGUUCCCAUCUUCACAUGUUGGCAACUAAUGAUAAGGGUUGCGCUCGUUGCGGGACUUAACCCAACACCUCACGGCACGAGCUGACGACAGCCAUGCAGCACCUGUGCAGAGCUCCUUGCGGAACACAGCAUCUCUGCUGCUUUUCUCUGCAUGUCAAGCCUAGGUAAGGUUCUUCGCGUUGCAUCGAAUUAAACCACAUGCUCCACUGCUUGUGCGGGUCCCCGUCAAUUCUUUUGAGUUUCACCCUUGCGAGCGUACUCCCCAGGCGGUAUACUUAUCGCGUUCGCUUCGGCACAGUCAGGGUUGAGUCCAACUACACCUAGUAUACAUCGUUUAGGGCAAGGACUAC
rnacentral:misc_RNA from 1 species